rnacentral:rRNA from 1 species
GACGAACCGUGCGAACGUUAUUCGGAAUCACUGGGCUUAAAGGGCGCGUAGGCGAGUCGGUAAGUCAGGGGUGAAAUCCCACGGCCCAACCGUGGAAGUGCCUCUGAUACUGCCGGCCUCGAGGGGGAUAGGGGCGUGCGGAACUCAGGGUGGAGCGGUGAAAUGCGUAGAUAUCCUGAGGAACACCGGUGGCGAAAGCGGCGCGCUGGAUCCCUUCUGACGCUGAGGCGCGAAAGCCAGGGGAGCAAACGGG